AUUGAACGCUGGCGGCAUGCCCUACACAUGCAAGUCGAACGGCAGCACGGGGCAACCUGGUGGCGAGUGGCGAACGGGUGAGUAAUGCAUCGGAACGUACCUUUCAGUGGGGGAUAACGUAGCGAAAGUUACGCUAAUACCGCAUAUUCUGUGAGCAGGAAAGCAGGGGAUCGCAAGACCUUGCGCUGAUUGAGCGGCCGAUGUCAGAUUAGCUAGUUGGUGAGGUAAAGGCUCACCAAGGCGACGAUCUGUAGCGGGUCUGAGAGGAUGAUCCGCCACACUGGAACUGAGACACGGUCCAGACUCCUACGGGAGGCAGCAGUGGGGAAUUUUGGACAAUGGGGGCCACCCUGAUCCAGCCAUGCCGCGUGAGUGAAGAAGGCCUUCGGGUUGUAAAGCUCUUUCGGCCGGGAAGAAAUCGCACGGGCUAAUACCCUGUGUGGAUGACGGUACCGGAAUAAGAAGCACCGGCUAACUACGUGCCAGCCGCCGCAGUAACAC
rnacentral:rRNA from 1 species